CCGAGUUUACAACUCCCAAACCCCUGUGAAUAUACCAUCGUUGCUUCGGCGGAUCGCCCCGGGCGCUUUUGUGCCCCGGAGUCAGGUGCCCGCCGGAGGACCCAAAACUCAACUGUAUUUUUUGUAUCAAAACGUAUUCUGAGUGGAAUUUUAAAUAAAUCA
rnacentral:misc_RNA from 1 species